rnacentral:rRNA from 1 species
AACGAACGCUGGCGGCAGGCCUAACACAUGCAAGUCGAGCGGACCCUUCGGGGUUAGCGGCGGACGGGUGAGUAACGCGUGGGAAUGUGCCCUUCUCUACGGAAUAGUCUCGGGAAACUGGGGGUAAUACCGUAUACGCCCGUAUGGGGGAAAGAUUUAAUCGGAGAAGGAUCAGCCCGCGUUGGAUUAGGUAGUUGGUGGGGUAAUGGCCUACCAAGCCGACGAUCCAUAGCUGGUUUGAGAGG